GCUACACCCCCACCCCUCACCCAGAAAUUGCACAUAUGUCUGAAAUGUAACAUAAUGCAUCAAAAAAUGUGGCGCUAUGGAGAGUUAACAGUGAACAGACUGAGAUAUUCUCACAAGUGGAGUGGUUUGAAACGCUUCGAAAGUCACACACAUCCUGCAAAGUGCUUCACUAGGAUGCCUGGUGCAAAGAUCCUGCUCUUCCUUCAGAGCCUGAAAUGCAGGAAACCUCUGGAGCCCGCAGGAGAGGUGUCUAACUUCCGCCGUUGCCUGACAACCAUUGACCUUGUGGCUUUGGGGGUGGGCAGCACAUUAGGCGCCGGCGUGUAUGCGCUCUCCGGAGAAGUGGCCAGAACUGUGGCCGGACCCAGUAUCAUCAUCUCCUUCUUGAUAGCAGCCAUAGCCUCAGUCUUUGCAGGCUUGUGCUAUGCUGAAUUUGGUGCUCGGGUUCCCAAGACAGGUUCUGCCUACCUCUACAGCUACGUAACAGUGGGAGAGAUCUGGGCUUUUAUCACUGGCUGGAACCUUCUGCUCUCUUAUGUCAUAGGGACAUCAAGCGUGGCCAGAGCUUGGAGUGGAACCUUUGAUGACCUCAUUGGAAAUGUCAUUGCCAAUUCUUUGGGAAAACAAGCUCCCAUGGACCUGCCAGGAUUAGCUCCCUACCCAGACUUCUUUGCAGCUGGCCUUAUCAUGCUCUUGGCAGGUAUUCUUGCAUUCGGUGUUAAAGAGUCUGCCAUCGUGAACAAAGUUUUUACGGCAGUUAACAUCGUAGUCUUGCUCUUUGUUAUCCUCUCUGGCUUCAUAAAGGGAGAUCUCAACAACUGGUACAGUGGUGAAGAAACUCUUCAGAAUUCACAUGAAAACACAUCAUUGCUCAAUGAAACCAUGACUUUUGGAACCGGGGGGUUUUUCCCUUUUGGCUUUGGUGGAACAAUAGCAGGAGCGGCUACUUGCUUUUACGCAUUUGUCGGCUUUGACUGCAUUGCCACAACAGGAGAGGAGGUUCAGAAUCCCUAGAAGUCAUUCCCACUCGGGAUUGAGGUGUGCUGUAGGUGUGACAGAGGAAUUUCAGGUAAAUGGCAUUUUCUUUGUCCUCGACCUGUGCGUCACCUUUUGACGAAGGAGAGGACAUGGCUGUCUUUGAGUCCACUGCAGCAGACUAUGGAGGAUUGGGCAUGUCACGUCUGCCCGAGCUCUCUGUCAUUUCACCGGGCCUGGACCCUCAGAUAUCCAAUAUGGGGCUUAUUCUGCACUUGGAUGGAUGUGGAGGACACGGAUGGAGAAAAUGCUGUGGCUGAAGUGGUUAAGAGGGAGAGAGAGAGAGAGAGAGAGAGAGACACAGAGACAGAGAGAGAAAAAAGUAAGAUUAAAGAAAU